GAUGAACGCUAGCGGGAGGCCUAACACAUGCAAGCCGAGCGGUAUUGUUUCUUCGGAAAUGAGAGAGCGGCGUACGGGUGCGGAACACGUGUGCAGCCUGCCUUUAUCUAGAGGAUAGCCUUUCGAAAGGAAGAUUAAUACUCUAUAAUAUAUUCAUUGGCAUCAAUUGAUAUUGAAAACUCCGGUGGAUAGAGAUGGGCACGGGCAAGAUUAGCUAGUUGGUGAGGUAACGGCUCACCAAGGCAAUGAUCUUUAGGGGGCCUGAGAGGGUGGUCCCCCACACAGGUACUGAGACACGGACCAGACGCCUACGGGAGGCAGCAGUGAGGAAUAUUGGUCAAUGGGUGCAAGCCUGAACCAGCCAUCCCGCGUGAAGGAUUAAGGUCCUAUGGAUUGUAAACUUCUUUUGUAUAGGGAUAAACCUACCCUCGUGAGGGUAGCUGAAGGUACUAUACGAAUAAGCACCGGCUAACUCCGUGCCAGCCGCCGCAGUAAAAC
rnacentral:rRNA from 1 species